UGCUCACUGAUAAUUUAAAGAGCUGCAGUAUAUUGACUGUACAAAGGUAGCAUAAUCACUAGUAUAUUAAUUGUGUACUGGAAUGAAAGGUUGAACGAGAAAUACACUGUCUCUUAUUAAUUUAUAUAAUUUUACUUUCUAGUAAAAAGGCUGGAAUUUUCUUUUUGGACGAUAAGACCCUAUAGAACUUAAAUUAUGGCAAUUAAAUAGUUUAGGAUAUUUUUUUGAUUUUAGUUGAGUUAAUUUUAAUUGGGGCGAUUUGAAUAAUAGAUAAACUAUUCAUUAUUAUUAUCAUUGAUUUAUGUUUUUCAUGAUCCUUUAUUAUGGAUUUAAAGAUCAAGUUACCUUAGGGAUAACAGCACAAUUAUCUUAGAGAGUUCUUAUUGACAAGAUAGAUUGUGACCUCGAUGUUGGAUUAAGAUUAUUAGUUGGGUGUAGGGGCUCAAUUAAUUGGUCUGUUCGACCAUUAAAAUCUU
rnacentral:rRNA from 1 species